rnacentral:rRNA from 1 species
GACGAACGCUGGCGGCGUGCUUAACACAUGCAAGUCGAACGGAAAGGCCCUGCUUUUGUGGGGUGCUCGAGUGGCGAACGGGUGAGUAACACGUGAGUAACCUGCCCUUGACUUUGGGAUAACUUCAGGAAACUGGGGCUAAUACCGGAUAGGAGCUCCUGCUGCAUGGUGGGGGUUGGAAAGUUUCGGCGGUUGGGGAUGGACUCGCGGCUUACCAGCUUGUUGGUGGGGUAGUGGCUUACCAAGGCUUUGACGGGUAGCCGGCCUGAGAGGGUGACCGGCCACAUUGGGACUGAGAUACGGCCCAGACUCCUACGGGAGGCAGCAGUGGGGAAUAUUGCACAAUGGGUGGAAGCCUGAUGCAGCAACGCCGCGUGCGGGAUGACGGCCUUCGGGUUGUAAACCGCUUUCGCCUGUGACGAAGCGUGAGUGGCGGUAAUGGGUAAAGAAGCACCGGCUAACUACGUG